CCACUUCUCCGCAAAGGAGCUCGAGUCAGGUCCUCCUCUGGACGAAGAAAUCUGAGUUAGCAGUUGGCCCAGCCCUCUGCAAAUGGCACACGGGGCUGGCAGUGGCUGCACCUUGCGGACCGAGGACAAUAGUCCGGUGCGAAGCUUGGCGUUUGUGUGCGGACCCAGGGGGCGGGGUGGGGGUGGGAGCCUCAGAAACAGGAAGGCCGAGAUUACAGUCGGUUUUACAGCUCUUUUGAAGUCGCCGGGAGCCAGCUCGGGAAGCCUGCAGGCUGUGAGCACGUUGAUCAAAGGUCCCUUUGCGGGCUCAAAUUAACAGGGAGCUGGCGAGCCCGCGCAGCACCUGCCUGGGAAGAGCAGCGCCACAGCAAACCGGCUCAUCUUGCCGGGAGGAUUUGGAAAUGAACCUUGGACUUUAAGAACGCUUGGAGUCAUUGAACCACACCCAACUCCUAUUCUGACAUUUCACUGCUAUCCAGGAUUUACAGAAAAUGUUAGAAAAACUCUGCAGCAAUGUUAUUUUGAAAUUUAUAAAGCCUUUACAAAAAUGUGAAGAAAGAUGUAUAUAUUUGUGGCAUCUUGAUCUCUACUAUAAAUUGCGAAAUGAUUGGAUUGAGCUUAAGGUAUUAAAGCUUUUAAUUAGAAAAUUUUAAAUAAAUGAUGUUCUGGAUAUGUCAUGCAUGUAACUUUGGAGAAAAAUGUCAACUACGUGUAACACCCCCUGACUUGCCAUUAUACCUAUUAUGGAUUCAAAGGAAUUUAAUACACCUGUCUAGUUUAGUCUGGUCUAUCUUUUUUUUCCCGCUCUUUGGUGGUGUUUUGUGUUUAGUGGGGAUGGAAGCCCAGGCCUUGCCCCUCCAACUGAGCUACAUUCCUGGAUUCCUGGGAUCUUGUUUUGGUUUUUCUUUUUCUUUCUUUUUUUUUUUUUUUUGAGACAGGGCCGUUACCUCUGCUAUCGUGGGUUGAAUGUAUCUAAAACCAUAUCAACUCUAUACCGUGAUGCCAGGGUACGCCUUGUUUACCUUCAUGGUCUUGCGACUAAGUCAGAGCUAUGGGCUCACCGUGGCUGCCCAGCAUGACAGCAUCACCACCAGCCUGGGACACCAUCGGGCUCAGAACAUGAUUUUAUAGAAUAUAUGCUCUCAGCUUAUAGGUGGGUCAAAAGCAGUAAACGAGCCAUCUUGCAUCAGCAACCUUCUUGAAAGUGGUCUCUCUUGAUGUGUGGAUCCCCACACCCGAUUGGAUGCCUGAGGUCACUCAAUCUUAUCACAUCUGCUUUUUCCAAAGUUUGAAUGCAUCAGCUCUGCCCUUUGUCCUAACUGGGUGCUAGAAGUUGAAUGGCCAGGAUUAGCCCCAACUUCUGUCUCCUCACAAUCUCACAGGGAGAUUUGAUCUUCCCUUAGGCCUGACCAACCACAGGAUGGGAAUUUUUCUAACCUUGCUGAGAACUUUCACUUACAGGAAAAGCUUCAGAACAACUCUCUGGCAUGUGCUAAUUCCUAUCAUGGCUCACUACACUCCCAUUACGAACCCUAGCACUGGGUGCCCGUCAGCCCAGUCAGCCCA
rnacentral:lncRNA from 1 species